UUUUGUUUUUGCCCCCAUUUUUCAUGAGCUGAACUCAAAGAUCUAAGACCUUUUCUAUGUACACAAAAGGCACACCUAUGCAAUAAUCAUGCUGUCUAAACAGCAUCUUGAUAUGCCACACCUGUGAGGAGGAUGGAUUAUCUCGGCAAAGAAAAAGUGCUCACUAACACAGAUUUAGACAGAUUUGUGAACAAUAUUUGAGAGAAAUAGGCCUUUUGUGUACAUAGAAAAAAGUCUUAGAUCUUUGAGUUCAGCUCAUGAAAAAUGGGGGAAAAAACAAAAG